rnacentral:lncRNA from 1 species
UUAACUCAUCAUCAUCGGUGGCAUAUUAUUGGAUGAAGUACAUACCUGUGGCAGACCACCUGGAACACUGACAAACAAUGUUGAGGUGCACUUGGGAAGCAGUUCUGGAAUGUGUGAUACUGUUUCUUUAAAGGAUCCCAAAUAAUUAGAUACAAAACAAAGAAAUGAAGAUGUGUAAGACAAUACCUACAUUCAUCCUGCUGCUUACAGGGUAUUUUGUUAAAAAUAUGCAUGUUCAUGCAACAGAUCCAACACUAUUAUUGCAAACUACUUCCAGUGUCACAGAAGCUUCUCACCAAGAAACAGCAACAGCUGAUUCAAAACCAGUAACAACCGGACCAGAAAAUGAGUCGAGUCCCGUUCCAGAAGAACGUUUGUCAUCUACAGUAGUGGCAGGAACCAGCAUUUCCCUUGUGAUCAUCUUGAUAUGUGUAAUUGCUUUUUUUUGGUUCAAAUGGAAAUCGUCUAAGGAAAGUUCAGCUGAAAUUAAUUCUGACCCCUCCAGUGAAGCUGUGGUGACCUUAAAAAAUACCAAGUUAUGAAAACCAAU